GAUGAACGCUGGCGGCGUGCCUAAUACAUGCAAGUCGAGCGAACGGACGAGAAGCUUGCUUCUCUGAUGUUAGCGGCGGACGGGUGAGUAAAACGUGGAUAACCUACCUAUAAGACUGGGAUAACUUCGGGAAACCGUAGCUAAUACCGGAUAAUAUUUUGAACCGCAUGGUUCAAAAGUGAAAGACGGUCUUGCUGUCACUUAUAGAUGGAUCCGCGCUGCAUUAGCUAGUUGGUAAGGUAACGGCUUACCAAGGCAACGAUGCAUAGCCGACCUGAGAGGGUGAUCGGCCACACUGGAACUGAGACACGGUCCAGACUCCUACGGGAGGCAGCAGUAGGGAAUCUUCCGCAAUGGGCGAAAGCCUGACGGAGCAACGCCGCGUGAGUGAUGAAGGUCUUCGGAUCGUAAAACUCUGUUAUUAGGGAAGAACAUAUGUGUAAGUAACUGUGCACAUCUUGACGGUACCUAAUCAGAAAGCCACGGCUAACUACGUG
rnacentral:rRNA from 1 species